rnacentral:rRNA from 1 species
GACGAACGCUGGCGGCGUGCUUAACACAUGCAAGUCGAACGGUAAGGCCCUUCUUUUGUGGGGUGCUCGAGUGGCGAACGGGUGAGUAACACGUGAGUAACCUGCCCUUGACUUUGGGAUAACUUCAGGUAACUGUGGCUAAUACCGGAUAGGCGCUCCUGCUGCAUGGUGGUGGUUGGAAAGUUUGGGCGGUUGGGGAUGGACUCGCGGCUUAUCAGCUUGUUGGUGGGGUAGUGGCUUACCAAGGCUUUGACGGGUAGCCGGCCUGAGAGGGUGACCGGCCACAUUGGGACUGGGAUACGGCCCAGACUCCUACGGGAGGCAGCAGUGGGGAAUAUGGCACAAUGGGGGGAAGCCGGAGGCAGCAACGCCGCGGGCGGAUUAACGGCCUUGGGGUGGUAAACCGUUUUCGCCUGUAACGAAGCUUUAGUGACGGUAAUGGGUGAAGAAGCACCGGCUAACUACGUG